CUUCCGAUCUGGGGAAUGCCUUGGUUCUCAGAGGCGAUGAAGGACGUGCUAAGCUGCGAUAAGCUACGGGAAGCCGCACAGAGGCGUUAAUCCGUAGAUUUCCGAAUGGGGAAACCCGGCUGGUUGAAGGCCAGUCACCGAAAGGAGCGAACCCGGGGAACUGAAACAUCUAAGUACCCGGAGGAAGAGAAAACAAUAGUGAUUCCGUAAGUAGUGGCGAGCGAACGCGGAACAGCCCAAACCCUGAUCGUUACGGCGGUUGGGGGGUUGUAGGACUACAAUGUGGACUAUAAAAACGAAGUAGAACGAUUUGGGAAAGUCGACCAUAGAGGGUGAAAGUCCCGUAUACGUAAAGUUUUAUUACCUAGUAGUAUCCUGAGUAGGGCGGAACCGGAGAAAUUCCGUCUGAAUCUGCCAGCACCAUCUGGUAAGGCUAAAUACUCCUGAGAAACCGAUAGUGAACCAGUACCGUGAGGGAAAGGUGAAAAGUACCCUGAAUAAGGGGGUGAAAUAGUACCUGAAACCGUGCGCCUACAAACGGUCGGAGGUCCCUAGUGGAUUGACGGCGUGCCUUUUGCAUAAUGAGCCUACGAGUUAUCCUAAUUGGCAAGGUUAAGUGAUUAAGUCACGUAGCCGGAGCGAAAGCGAGUCUUAACAGGGCGUUCAGUCAGUUGGGGUAGACGCGAAACUUGGUGAUCUACCCAUGGCCAGGGUGAAGUGUAGGUAACACUACAUGGAGGCCCGAACCAGUUCACGUUGAAAAGUGUUUGGAUGAGCUGUGGGUAGGGGUGAAAGGCCAAUCAAACUGAGAAAUAGCUCGUACUCCCCGAAAUGUUUUUAGGAACAGCGUGGGAAUUAGUUUAUCAGAGGUAGAGCUACCGAUUGGACUAGGGGGAGUCAAAUCCUACCAAAUCCAGACGAACUCCGAAUGCUGAUAAAUAUUUCCUGCAGUGAGGGUAAGGGUGCUAAGGUCCUUAUCCGAGAGGGAAAGAACCCAGACCUACUGCUAAGGUCCCUAAAUUUACGCUAAGUUGAACUAAGGAGGUUCAGUUGCUUAGACAGCCAGGAGGUUGGCUUGGAAGCAGCCAUUCCUUUAAAGAGUGCGUAACAGCUCACUGGUCGAGCGACAGAGCAUCGAUAAUAAUCGGGCAUUAAGUGUAAUACCGAAGCAUAGGAUUUGUAGUUUACUACAAGUGGUAGGGGAGCAUUCUCUGUGCGGUGAAGGCGUGUUGUGAGGCAUGUUGGAGCGCAGAGAAGCGCAGAUGUAGGCAUAAGUAACGAUAAUGCGGGCGAGAAACCCGCACACCGAUAGACUAAGGUUUCCCUGGCAAUGCUAAUCAGCCGGGGGUUAGUCGGGACCUAAGGCGAACCCGAAAGGGGUAGUCGAUGGACAAUCAGUUAAUAUUCUGAUACCACCAUUAUUUUUGAUGGGGUGACGGAGCAGUGAAAGUACCGCGUACUGACGGAAUAGUACGUUGAAGCGAGUAGGUAUAGAGACAGUAGGCAAAUCCGCUGACUCUGCUGAACGUGAUAGUACCACAAUGCUACGGCAGCGUGGAUAGUGUACCUAAACAUACUUCCAAGAAAAACCUCUAAAAUUAUGAUAAUGGUGCCCGUACCGCAAACCGACACAGGUAGUCAAGGAGAGAAUCCUGAGGUGCUCGAGUGAUUCGUGGCUAAGGAACUAGGCAAAAUGACCCUGUAACUUCGGGAGAAGGGGUCCCAUGGCAACAUGGGCGCAGUGAAAAGAUCCAGGCGACUGUUUAUCAAAAACACAUGGCUGUGCGAAGUAGAAAUACGCGGUAUACAGCCUGACACCUGCCCGGUGCUGGAAGGUUAAGGGGGGGCGUUAUCUUCGGAGAAGCGCUGAACUGAAGCCCCAGUAAACGGCGGCCGUAACUAUAACGGUCCUAAGGUAGCGAAAUUCCUUGUCGGGU
rnacentral:rRNA from 1 species